UAUAAUUUUAAAAAUUAGCAAAGUAUGAAAAAUGUUUUAUUCUGUUCCAAAAAUGUUUUUAGUUCUGAGCCAUCUGAAGAUGAAGAGUCACAGGGCCUUCCGACCAUGUCACGAAGAAAUGAGGGUAUUUCAGAAUUGGAAGGCCUUUCAGAAUUGGAAGAUCUUAAAGAUGCUAAACUUCAGACCUUGAAGGAACUUUUUCCACAAAGAAGUGAUGCUGAUUUACUUAAGUUGAUUGAGUCAACAACUACUAUGGAUGGAGCCAUUGCUGCCGCCUUGCUGAUGUUUGGUGAUGCAGGUGGUGGGCCCAGGAAAAGAAAGUUAUCGUCUUCUUCAGAGCCAUAUGAGGAAGAUGAAUUUAAUGAUGAUCAAUCUUUUAAAAAGACAAGAUUGGAUCAUGGAGAGGAAUCAAAUGAGUCUGCAGAAUCUAGCAGUAAUUGGGAAAAGCAGGAAAGUAUUGUAUUGAAAUUGCAAAAGGAAUUUCCCUAGUUUGAUAAACAAGUGAGCAGUAUGAUACAGAAAUGUAAUUUGUGGGGGCUG
ensembl:lincRNA